rfam:Mesocricetus auratus contig092184, whole genome shotgun sequence.
UUCUGAAACCCUUCGGCAGCACAUAUACUAAAAUUGGAACGAUACCAAGAAGAUUAGCAUGGCCCCUGUGCAAGGAUGACAUGCAAAUUUGUAAAGCGUUCCAUAUUUUU